CCGCUUGCGUCAAGGACGCUUCGCUCAGUGCGUGUAUACCGCCGCGUAGGAAGAUAGUUCCUAAGUCUUUCCCUCGGUUUGAUAGAGACUAUCUCUGCCGGAAGUACUUUAGUAUUAGAUACGGGUUGAUUCUUGGUGUCAUGGUAAUCUUUGUGGGUGUUCUGGCAGUGACUGUUGUGAGGUGGUGUAUGUUACUAUCGCCUCAAGAGGUAGUGGAGGGAUCUGUGUAUCCGGUCGGGGCGCGGCUGCAGCGACUUAGGGGAGGUGGCUUUUGGCGACAGUGGGCGUGGUCACUUGGGGGCGUGGCUUCCGCGGGCGGCGCGGGGCGGGGUGGGGGGGCGGAACAUGUCUCCCGCCGCAGGAAGAUGAGGCAGCGCCGGCGGCUGCGGGCGUAGCGGGCCACCGCGGGCCACCGCCGCGCGCCGCCGCCUCUGCUACAGUCCCUUCCCGCGGGGCCUGCUCUGAGAGAAGCUCGAGAGAGACCAGGCGACGCGAACGCGAGUGGGGAGGAGGAAGGACGCGCGACCCCGAGCCCUGCGCGCUCCCGCCGCCCACGCGCGACCCUCGGGGACGCGCCCGCCACCCUUUUGUCCCCGGGGUCCCCGAGGGCGGUGGGCAGCAGGGAGCCCCGGUGCACCCGGUGCAUGCCCCCGCCCAGCAGGGCUGUCUCUAGAUCUGGGGGACGCACCCCAGUUCCAACACCUGCUGUCCUGGGUGGAUGAUGAACCAGUCUCAGAGAAUGGCACCCGUGGGCUCUGACAAGGAACUGAGUGACCUCCUGGACUUCAGCAUGAUGUUCCCGCUACCUGUGGCCAAUGGGAAGAGCCGGCCCGCCUCCCUCGGGGGAACCCAGUUUGCAGGCUCAGGACUGGAGGACCGACCCAGCUCAGGCUCCUGGGGCAGCAGUGACCAGAACAGUUCUUCCUUUGACCCUAGCCGGACAUACAGCGAAGGUGCCCACUUCAGUGACUCCCACAGCAGCCUGCCGCCUUCCACGUUCCUAGGAGCUGGGCUUGGAGGCAAGGGCAGUGAGCGGAAUGCCUAUGCCACCUUUGGGAGAGACACCAGUGUUGGCACCUUGAGUCAGGCUGGCUUCCUGCCAGGUGAGCUGAGCCUCAGCAGUCCCGGGCCACUGUCCCCAUCGGGCAUCAAGAGCAGCUCCCAGUAUUACCCCUCAUUCCCCAGCAACCCUCGUCGGAGAGCUGCAGAUGGUGGCCUGGCAGAUACUCAGCCGAAGAAGGUCCGGAAGGUUCCGCCUGGUCUCCCUUCCUCGGUGUAUCCGCCCAGCUCAGGUGACAGCUACAGCAGGGAUGCUGCAGCCUACCCCUCCGCCAAGACCCCCAGCAGCGCUUACCCCUCCCCCUUCUACGUGGCAGAUGGCAGCCUGCACCCAUCAGCUGAGCUCUGGAGUACGCCUAGCCAGGUGGGCUUUGGGCCCAUGCUAGGUGACGGCUCUUCCCCUCUGCCCCUUGCACCGGGCAGCAGCUCCGUGGGCAGUGGUACCUUUGGGGGCCUCCAGCAGCAGGAUCGCAUGGGCUACCAGCUGCAUGGAUCUGAGGUUAAUGGCUCGCUCCCAGCUGUAUCCAGCUUUUCGGCUGCCCCUGGCACUUACAGUGGGACUUCCGGCCACACGCCCCCUGUGAGUGGGGCCGCAGCUGAAAGCCUCCUAGGCACCCGAGGGACUACAGCCAGCAGCUCAGGGGAUGCCCUUGGGAAGGCACUGGCCUCGAUCUACUCCCCGGAUCACUCCAGCAAUAAUUUCUCACCUAGCCCCUCAACGCCUGUGGGUUCACCCCAGGGCCUGCCAGGGACAUCACAGUGGCCCCGGGCAGGAGCGCCCAGUGCCUUAUCCCCCAACUACGAUGCAGGUCUCCAUGGCCUGCAGAGCAAGAUGGAGGACCGCUUGGACGAGGCCAUCCAUGUCCUGCGAAGCCACGCUGUUGGCACCGCUAGCGAUCUCCAUGGGCUUUUGCCUGGCCAUGGCGCACUGACCACGAGCUUCACCGGCCCCAUGUCACUGGGCGGGCGGCAUGCCGGCCUGGUCGGGGGAAGCCAUCCUGAGGAGGGCCUCACAAGUGGGGCCAGUCUUUUGCAUAACCAUGCCAGCCUCCCCAGCCAGCCCAGUUCCCUCCCUGACCUCUCACAGAGACCUCCCGACUCCUAUAGUGGACUCGGGAGGGCAGGCACAACAGCGGGUGCCAGCGAGAUCAAGCGGGAGGAGAAAGAGGAUGAGGAAAUCGCAUCAGUAGCCGACGCCGAAGAGGACAAGAAGGACCUGAAGGUCCCACGCACGCGCACCAGCCCAGACGAGGACGAGGACGACCUUCUCCCCCCAGAGCAGAAGGCGGAGCGGGAGAAGGAGCGCCGGGUGGCCAAUAAUGCCCGAGAGCGCCUGCGGGUCCGCGACAUCAAUGAGGCCUUUAAGGAGCUCGGCCGCAUGUGCCAGCUGCACCUCAGCAGCGAGAAGCCGCAGACCAAACUGCUCAUCCUGCACCAGGCCGUGGCCGUCAUCCUCAGCCUGGAGCAGCAGGUGCGAGCAGUACAGAUGAGGUGCUGUCCCUGGAGGAGAAGGACCUGAGGGACCGGGAGAGGCGUAUGGCCAAUAACGCUCGGGAGCGGGUGCGCGUGCGGGACAUUAACGAGGCCUUCCGGGAGCUGGGCCGCAUGUGCCAGCUGCACCUCAAGUCGGAUAAGGCGCAGACCAAGCUGCUCAUCCUGCAGCAGGCGGUGCAGGUCAUCCUGGGCCUGGAGCAGCAGGUGCGAGAACGCAACCUGAACCCCAAAGCAGCCUGCUUGAAGCGGAGGGAGGAGGAGAAGGUGUCUGGCGUGGUCGGGGACCCACAGCUGGCCCUGUCAGCCGCCCACCCGGGCCUGGGUGAGGCCCACAACCCAGCCGGGCACCUGUGAGCCGUCACAGCUUCUUCGUUGGACCAGGGACCACCAUAUCUCUGCCCGGGGUGCAUCAGGACGGUUCUGGAUGAGACAGGUCUCCAUCGAAGCAUGAGCAGAGAGAGGGCUCUGGGGACACUUCAGGGCCUGGGGAGGGUGGCACUGAACAGCUCCCUGCUUGGCCCCAGUGACCAAGCAGAAAAGUUCCUUCCUCUCGGUUAACCAGAACUGGAAACAAAGCAGCAUGCUCCCUUUUCAAAAAGGAAAGAAAGAUGCCUUAACUAUGUAAGACGGAAGAGUCGGACCGUGCCCUGGCAGGGCGGCCUGGGACUGGCUUCUACUUCAGAGCCACCAGCACAUCGUGCCUAAGCAUUUUUCGUUUUUUUAAAGGAGAAUAAAGGAACAUUAGUUUUCAGAUUUUUUUUUUAAAUGUAGACAAAAGUUAGCAAGAACGAGGCCUUCCGUGUCUUUUUUUUUUCCCUUAGCUUUUUUUUCCGUAUGUUUUGUAAGCAACAAAUUUUUGUAUAAAAGUCUCAUGUCUGUUUCUGUUUCUAGAAUUUAUCGUCAUAUUUCAUGGUCUACAAGGUUAUUAAAGUAGCAUUCAAAAGA